rnacentral:rRNA from 1 species
AGUGAGGAAUAUUGGUCAAUGGGCGAGAGCCUGAACCAGCCAAGUCGCGUGAAGGAUGAAGGUCUUAUGGAUUGUAAACUUCUUUUAUAAGGGAAUAAAAAAGAUCACGUGUGGUUUAUUGCAUGUACCUUAUGAAUAAGCAUCGGCUAACUCCGUGCCAGCAGCCGCGGUAAUACGGAGGAUGCGAGCGUUAUCCGGAUUUAUUGGGUUUAAAGGGUGCGUAGGCGGUUUAUUAAGUCAGUGGUGAAAGUUUUCGGCUCAACCGGAAAAUUGCCAUUGAAACUGAUAGACUUGAGUGUAAACGAGGUAGGCGGAAUUCGUGGUGUAGCGGUGAAAUGCUUAGAUAUCACGAAGAACUCCAAUUGCGAAGGCAGCUUACUAGGCUACAACUGACGCUGAAGCACGAAAGCGUGGGGAUCAAA